CGCUUUAUUCCUUCCCCUUCCACUUCUAAACAAUUCCAUCCUAAAACUACCAGAUUAGACAAAGAAAAGCAAGCCUCUGCACAGGGGUUUGGAGCAAGGCUAGAGUGCAGUGGUGCGAUCUCGGCUCACUACAACUCCUACCUCCUGAGUUCAAGCGAUUCUCCUGCCUCAGCCUCCCGAGUAGCCAGGACUACAGUGUCGAGGUCAUGAAAGCCACUGAAAGACUGAGAACUGUUCCAGAAAGGAGACUAGAGAGACAUGGCAGCCAAAUGCUCCACAUAAUCCUGUCCUGGAUUCUUCUCCUACAAAGGAAGGGGUCUGAGGAUUAGGUGGUAGUACUGAAUCAAGGAACUAUCAUCUCCUAUUGUGCUGUAGGCAAACUUGAGUGACAUGGUGGAAGCCACCAGAGAGAAUAUCUGAAGCAAUUCAUUAAAAUCUUGGCAGCCAGACCCCAGCUCCCACUUUCCCUGAAAGCUCCCUUUAAUGAAGCUGAACGCUGUCCCAGCAAUUCCCUCCACAGAAGACCUACUGUCACCACCUCUGGAGGGGCAAUUCCUGGAGGAACCAAGUCAGCCAAUCGAAGGUCCUGAAUAAGCAAAAACUAAGUAAAUAAAUUACCAUCUCGAAAGUGAUGGGUUAGUGUGCUCUUUUGAAUGCCCCGUAGGAAAAUAAAUUUGAUUAAAAUUAAAUAUUUUGUUGUACGAUGUAAUGCUCAAAUUCAGGGGAUUCUGGUGUCCCUCUGGACAGUGUCAGUUGUUGGGGGAGGAGGGAAAUGCCAGCUGUC
rnacentral:lncRNA from 1 species